UACAGAGGUCUCAAGCGUUGUUCGGAUUCAUUGGGCGUAAAGGGCGCGUAGGCGGCUUGGCAAGUGGAAGGUGAAAUCCCUCGGCUUAACCGAGGAACUGCCCUCCAAACUGCUUUGCUUGAGGCCGGGAGAGGCGAGUGGAAUUCCCAGUGUAGCGGUGAAAUGCGUAGAUAUUGGGAGGAACACCAGUGGCGAAGGCGGCUCGCUGGACCGGUUCUGACGCUGAGGCGCGAAAGCGUGGGGAGCAAACGGG
rnacentral:rRNA from 1 species